rnacentral:rRNA from 1 species
AAUCAGAGUUGCAGGUCAGGAGCUUUUUCAUUUUCAUCAUUUUCAUUUUGAAGCUGGAUAUUUUCUCGAGGAUGCUGCUGCAUUCUCUCACUGCUGCAGUUGCAAACCGACAUCAGUAGUUAAGUUCCUGGUGAUGAUGUCUUAGCUUUUCUUCCUCUCAACGUUCUGUUGCCCUGCAUAUAAGUUCCACAUCUUUUGUCCUUUUUUCCGAUUUUAUUUUAUUCUUUCCACCCUACCUCAAGUCUUGGUGUGUUGGUUGACGUGUCGGUGUUUUCCAAUACUUGAGCCACCUCUGUUUGUGGUAAAUGUACCAGAGCUUCACCCUCAUUACCUGCUUGACCGAUGUCACUAACAUACGAGCACGACUCCUGCCCCUGCACACGAGUUUGCACAAAGUUUAUCUCAUUUUUUCCCUUAGCAUGUGUUUUUUUUGUUGUUUUUAAAAAUCAAUUUUAAAUGUUUCGCGCACCUGGGCAUUGAUGCUGUGAGAGCCUCUAUUUAGGUCAAUAUAACCCCGCAACAGCGCAACAUAAGAGAAGUUUGGCUUUUUCAUCAUCGUCAAUAUUUCUGUCGGUUUCCAGACGUAAUUUGCAAGGCAUAAAAAAUAAGCAAAAAAUAAGAAGCAUUUUUUUCAUCCAUUUUUUGCACCUGCAUGAAUAUAGUUUCUUGGCUUCCAAGGCAUUGAUCCUGGAUAUCCUCAUUCCCACUGUCAUUCACCUAUAAAAUUCAGUCUCUUGUAAAUACAAUAUGAACUCAAAAACAAAUAUGUGAGCAACAAGCAUCAAGCAUGGAAAUUGCAGAUCAUGUCUCUUUUGAGUCUUCUUUCUUCAGUCUUUAGGAAGUGUUUGUUUCUUCAGUCUUCUUUUCUCUGCCUUCAGUCCUUCACUUUCCAGUGUUUCUUGAGUCAUCUUACUAUUCAACCACCAUUCUGUCUUGUUUAUUCAACCCUCUUUUCUCUCUAUCUCUAGUUCUUCAGUUUUCCGUCUCUUUAGAAUCUUUGUUUCAGUGUUUCUGUAGUCUAGUCUUCAGUUUUCAGUACCUUUAUAUAAUUUUGUUUCAGUCAUUAGUGUUUCUUUUAUUCUUUUAGUUUUCAUUACCUAUUAAUCUGACCUCAGCUCAAUCUCUUUAAUCAGUACUCGUGCUAGUAUUUCCUUAGUCUGUGAGCCUGCAUCAUUGUUCAGUCACACUAAAUUUUGUCAAUUUUCUAUAGUUAAUAAUUCAGUUAUCAGUUUCUUUUAAAUUUUUGUCAAUUGUGAUCCUUCCUCACCUAAGUUCUUCAGUUUGUUUCUUAGUCUAUGAGCUUGCAUCAUUGUUCAGUCUAUCAGUCUAUAAGUCCCUAGUGCUUACUCACUCUGUCAUUUUCCAGUAAGUCCCUGCUCAUUUUCUAGCUUUUUUCUGUACCUGUAGGGGUUGGUGUCAUUUUCUUCAGUUAUGUUACUAGUUUCAGUGUUGGGUGUCGUUUUCUUCAGUUUUGUGUGUUACCAGUUACCACAUAGGUAGGUUAGUUAGUAUUCAUUGUUCAUUCUUAAUUUAGUAUUCAUUGUUUCGAUCGUAAGUCCAACACAGCCUACAAGCACUAAGAUUUAGUUAUGCUUGUCUAGACAGUUUUCUUAUUUAUGAGUGUUCAGACCUUCAGUUGCUCCAGUCCAUGUUAAGUCUUCUCAAAUAAAGCUCUCAAUCAUAGUUUCUAGUUUGUCAAGAAAUCCCAGCUAGUUUAGCAAGUUUGUUCAUACAGUUUUCAGUUUAUCUGCAUUUUGUCAUUUCACUACUUUAGCCUCAUAUUUAUUUCUUCACGUCAUUUUUUCGAGAUCAGAUCCAUGCUGGAAAUGGGUCGAAUGGGGCGUCAGUGGUAUCGAAUCCCACCAUGAUCAGAUACAUGCUUUUGAAACUCAGAGAUACAACUCUCAGAGCAAGAUAAUAUUUUAUGGAUCUGCGCCAACAAGCCUACCGACACCUGUGUCGCUUCCAACGGCUCUAGCAGCCAAGGAAUGGCCUGUUUUGCGGGGCCGGGAUUUAAGAUAGAGCUUUUAGAAGAUCAUUGCUCUCGGACGCUAUUCCAAAGCUCAUGCAGAAGUUUGUCACUCUCGUAGUGAACAAGCUCAAGGAGGCCAAGCUCUUCGCAUCACAAGGAGGCCCUAUCAUUCUAGCGCAGAUCGAGAAUGAGUACCAGCACAUGGAAGCGGCGUUCAAAGAAAACGGCACCAGGUACAUCGAAUGGGCAGCUAAGAUGGCCAUCAGCACCGACAUCGGGGUGCCAUGGAUCAUGUGCAAGCAGACUAAAGCUCCAGCGGACGUGAUUCCUACCUGCAACGGUAGGCACUGCGGAGAUACAUGGCCAGGUCCAGUUGACAAGAACAAACCCCUGUUAUGGACCGAGAACUGGACUGCUCAAUACAGAGUAUUCGGUGAUCCUCCGUCUCAGAGAUCUGCCGAGGACAUUGCGUUUGCCGUGGCGCGGUUCUUCUCGGUGGGGGGCAGCAUGGUGAACUACUACAUGUACCACGGAGGAACAAACUUUGGAAGAACGGGUGCCUCUUUCGUGAUGCCGAGAUACUACGACGAGGCGCCUCUCGACGAAUUCGGAAUGUUCAAAGAGCCCAAGUGGGGCCAUCUGAAGGACCUGCACCAUGCUUUGAGGUUGUGCAAGAACGCUCUCCUCUUUGGGACCCCCUCCACGCAGCCAUUGGGCAAGCUCUACGAGGCGCGGGUGUUCGAGAUCCCGGAGCAGAAGGUGUGCGUGGCGUUCCUGUCCAACCACAACACCAAGGAGGACGGGACGGUGACGUUCCGCGGGCAGAAGUACUUCGUGCCCCGGCGGUCUGUCAGCAUCCUGGGCGACUGCAAGACGGUGGUGUUCAGCACGCAAUACGUGAACGCGCAGCACAACCAGCGCACCUUCCACUUCACGGACCAGACGGUGCAGAACAAUGUGUGGGAGAUGUACACGGAGGGGGACCAGGUGCCCACCUACAAGUUCAGCACCGACCGGAGCGAGAAGCCCCUCGAGGCCUACAACAUGACCAAGGACAAGACCGACUACCUCUGGUACACAACCAGCUUCCUGCUGGACCCUGAGGACCUGCCGUCCAGGCUAGACAUCAAGCCGGUGCUGGAGGCGAGCAGCCAUGGGCACGCCAUGGUGGCGUUCGUCAACAAGAAGUUAGUCGGCUGCGGCCAUGGCACAAAGAUGAACAAGGCCUUCAGCCUGGAGAAGCCCAUCGAUGUCAAGGUCGGCAUCAACCACAUCUCCAUCCUGUCCAGCACGCUGGGGUUGCAGGACAGCGGGUCCUACCUGGAGCGCCGGCAGGCCGGCGUGCACUCGGUCACCAUCCAGGGCCUCAACACGGGGACGCUGGACCUCACCAGCAACGGGUGGGGUCACAUCGUGGGCCUGGACGGCGAGCGCAAGCAGGCUUUCACGGAAAAGGGCGGCGAGGUGCAGUGGCAACCCGCGGUGUUCGACAAGCCGCUCACGUGGUACCGGCGGCGCUUCGACAUGCCCAGCGGGGAGGACCCCGUGGUGAUCGACAUGAACCCGAUGGGCAAGGGCAUCCUGUUCGUCAACGGCGAAGGGCUGGGGCGAUACUGGAGCUCGUACAAGCACGCGCUGGGGCGGCCGUCGCAGUACCUGUACCACGUGCCGCGGUGCUUCCUGAAGCCGACGGGGAACGUGCUGACCAUCUUCGAGGAGGAAGGCGGGCGGCCGGACGCCAUCAUGAUCCUGACGGUGAAGCGCGACAACAUCUGCAGCUUCAUCUCGGAGACCAACCCCGGGCACGUACGGUCGUGGGAGACCAAGGACAGCCAGCUGACGAUGGUGGCGGACGACCUGAAGCCGCGGGCGGUGCUGACGUGCCCGGAGAAGAAGAUGAUCCAGCAGGUGGUGUUCGCCAGCUACGGGAACCCGCUGGGGAUCUGCGGCAACUACACGUUUGGCAACUGCCACACGCCCAAGGCCAAGGAGAUUGUGGAGAAGGCGUGCGUGGGGAAGAGGAGCUGCGUGCUGGCCGUGUCGCACGAGGUGUACGGCGGGGACCUCAACUGCCCGGGCACCACGGCCACGCUGGCCGUGCAGGCAAAGUGCUCCAAGAGGCAGAGGACCGCCGAGCAAUAAGUAACCUAAGCUCACAUAUGUACUGCUAUGUAGAUGAUCUCAUCACCUUGACCUUUUUGCCUUUUUCAUGCUUGUUGUUUGGGAUACAUGUUGUACUCAGGUUGUUGAUUCCUGUGAAUUGUUCUAGGAGUAGAUGGAGCGCUGAGAUGAGAAGCAACAUGGAUGGAAAUCAAUCGAUCCAUUUGAUUUGCU